rnacentral:rRNA from 1 species
GCGUGAGUGAAGAAGGUCUCGGAUCGUAAACUCUGUUGUUAGGGAAGAACAAGUGCCGUUCGAAUAGGGCGGCGCCUUGACGGUACCUAACCAGAAAGCCACGGCUAACUACGUGCCAGCAGCCGCGGUAAUACGUAGGUGGCAAGCGUUGUCCGGAAUUAUUGGGCGUAAAGCGCGCGCAGGUGGUUUCUUAAGUCUGAUGUGAAAGCCCACGGCUCAACCGUGGAGGGUCAUUGGAAACUGGGGAACUUGAGUGCAGAAGAGGAAAGUGGAAUUCCAAGUGUAGCGGUGAAAUGCGUAGAUAUUUGGAGGAACACCAGUGGCGAAGGCGACUUUCUGGUCUGUAACUGACACUGAGGCGCGAAAGCGUGGGGAGCAAACAGGAUUAGAUACCCUGGUAGUCCACGCCGUAAACGAUGAGUGCUAAGUGUUAGAGGGUUUCCGCCCUUUAGUGCUGCAGCUAACGCAUUAAGCACUCCGCCUGGGGAGUACGGUCGCCAAGACUGAAACUCAAAGGACUUGACGGGGGCCC